UUUGAGGUUCAUAAAUUUGUUCGGACUUGGAAUAAUACCGUGUUAAAUUCAUGGCGUGGAAGGCCGACGGAAGUUAUUGAGAAACAACUUAGACAGAUUAAUACCUGGAUGGUAGAAUUAGAACUGUUCACGAAGUCAUUCUGCACAACUAAUGGUUUAUUAAUGGUUGAUUGCCGAAAUAUCAGAGAUAGCAUCGUUCCGAAACUUGGUUCCAUUUUUCGACAACUUUCCAAGAUGGUUGCAAAGGAUCUUAUGAGGAUGUCGAAGAAGUUCAUUGACGAGGCUCAACAGCUUGUUAGGUCUGUUGAGCAUCAAGCUCGUGUUGUUGGUAAA